rnacentral:rRNA from 1 species
AUUGAACGCUGGCGGCAGGCCUAACACAUGCAAGUCGAGCGGAUGAAGGGAGCUUGCUCCUGGAUUCAGCGGCGGACGGGUGAGUAAUGCCUAGGAAUCUGUCUGGUAGUGGGGGAUAACGUCCGGAAACGGGCGCUAAUACCGCAUACGUCCUGAGGGAGAAAGUGGGGGAUCUUCGGACCUCACGCUAUCAGAUGAGCCUAGGUCGGAUUAGCUAGUUGGUGGGGUAAAGGCCUACCAAGGCGACGAUCCGUAACUGGUCUGAGAGGAUGAUCAGUCACACUGGAACUGAGACACGGUCCAGACUCCUACGGGAGGCAGCAGUGGGGAAUAUUGGACAAUGGGCGAAAGCCUGAUCCAGCCAUGCCGCGUGUGUGAAGAAGGUCUUCGGAUUGUAAAGCACUUUAAGUUGGGAGGAAGGGCAGUAAGUUAAUACCUUGCUGUUUUGACGUUACGAACAGAAUAAGCACCGGCUAACUUCGUG